rnacentral:rRNA from 1 species
UACAGGGGGGGCAAGCGUUGUUCGGAAUUACUGGGCGUAAAGGGCUCGUAGGUGGCCAACUAAGUCAGACGUGAAAUCCCUCAGCUUAACUGGGGAACUGCGUCUGAUACUGGAUGGCUUGAGUUUGGGAGAGGGAUGCGGAAUUCCAGGUGUAGCGGUGAAAUGCGUAGAUAUCUGGAGGAACACCAAUUGCGAAGGCAGCUCGCUGGGACGUAACUGACGCUGAGACGCGAAAGCGUGGGGAGCAAACAGG